CUAUCCUUCCUCGCGGUUACCUUCCCCGCGCCUAGGUUAUAGUUCUGGGCGGUGGCGCCUAGGUUAUGUCUAGGUUUAGCAUUAGGCGAAACCACCAGAGUUCGGUUAGUGAUUGACUGCAACCUAAUUAUCCUGGGAAUGAGGCUCUCUUGCUUCCGCAGUUUAAGUUAGUGUGUGUUGGUGAUUCUGCGGAGAACAAGAGGAGAUCUGAUUUGUAAGCAGUAGGCACCUCUGGUAAAGAAUUUAAUAACAGGUGGUAUUAAAUAAACACAUGUUUGCUCAAUCCAAUCAUACGUACUAGACACGUGUGGCGGCAUUAUGCGUAAUUGAGUUGUUAUUUGCUGUCACCUGCUUGGCUUCACCAUGCAAGGUCGCAUCGUGUCUCUAUGUGCCUGCGUUGCGGUGAUCUACAUCGGAACUGUUUUAUACUUGGCAUAUAUUGAUAUACUUUAACCGUAUUCACCAACAAUAACAGCUCAAUUAUCAUAUGGGCCAUUUCCCUGAACAAUAUUAGGUGUCUUGAAGUAUCCAUCCUGUUUUUCUCAGGCUUGUAGAGUAUACAUGCUUGAAUUGCAUAUGAAAAAAACAGGUGUUAUUGUUGGUGAAUACGGUUAGAGUAUAUGUGGAUGAGAAGAAACUAAAACAACUUUUAUCAUACUGCAUUGAAGUUGUGUUUCCAUGUUAACGGCAUGAGCCUUUUCUUUCUUGCUUAAGACACCAUAAUGGCGGCUUGGCAAGUUAAAAUGAGGCUCCCUAAAGAAGGACCUUCCAUCGCCGGUGAUUCCCCUCUCCUUCCUCGCCGUUAUCUUUCCCGUCCCGGUUAUAGUUCUGGGCAGUGGUACCUAGGUUUAGGUUUAACAUUAGGCGAAAUCACCCGAGUUCAUUUAGUGAUUGACUCGGGGAAGGCGGAGUUGACCUAUAUUCAUGCCGACGUUUGCUUGGGAUCUAGUUACAAGACUGCAACUUAACUAUUUAGUAUCAGUUGGUGAUUUUUGGGAGAGCAAGAGAAGAUCUGAUUUGUAAGCACCUUUGGUAAAGAAAUUAAUAACAGGUAUUUUAACACAUGUUCGCUCAAUCCAAUUAUACUAGACAUGUGUGGUGGCAUUAUGAGUUAUUGAGCUGUUAUUUGCUGUCCCACUUGGCUUCAUUAUGCAUGGUGGUAUGUCUAUGUGCUUGCUUUGUGGUGAUCUAUAAAGGAAGCUCUUUAUACUUGGUUUAUGUUGUUAUAUUGUAUGGUCCAUUUUUCCCCGAACAGUAUUAGUUGUCUUGAAUUAGCUGACCUGAUAUUCUCAGGCUUGUAGAGUGUACAUGAUUGCGUAUGAAAAAAAGGUGUUAUUGUUGGUGAAUACGAUUAGAAUAUAUGUAGACGAAAAGAAAUUCAAACAGCCUUUAUCAUACUGCAUCGCAGUUGUAUUUCCAUGUUACUGAAAGGGGCUUUUUCUUUCUAAGACUCCAUAAUGACGGCUUGACAAGAUAGAAGGAGGUGCCAGAGAGUCCUUUGUGAGGAGGCCAUUUUAUCUCACAUGACUUAUCAAAGAUUUUGUCAAUACACGUGACAGUUACUCAGUUAGUAGCUGUAACCAUCAUAAUUCUUCGAUUUCAGACUGAGCUGUUACUCAAAUUCCACAUGUUUUAGCUUGUAUGCGCAACUUGGCUUUGAGCGUCAGCUAUUGAAAUUUACUUGUAGCGCAAGGAAAUUUGUCCCUCAUCUUUUGCUAUUACUAGAAGCUGUGUUGAUUAACCAUAUCAAGUAAAGAAGCAUCAUGAUUCAUGAUCUGGAUGUAUGAUUUCAAUAGUUGACCUACCUUCUCUAGUCAUUUAAUCAAGGUUUGUCGGCUAACUAAUCAUUUUGCAUAAGCCCAGUGUCCAGUUUUUAUUACCUUCUUUUCACGUAGAAAUGUGUUGACUCCAUAGUGCUUGUAGAUAAAUAAUGUGUUGAGUCCAUACGCCCAGUCUUUAUUACCCUACAUACAUUUUUUUAAUGAAAAACUCACCAGUUAAUGUGCGUACCUUGCAAAUAUGCUUCUUGACAGAAGGUUUUGAGCUGGCAAAGUUACAUAAAAACCAACCCCUUGUAUUCCACCUUAUUGUAGCAAACAUACCACUUCUAUUUGCUAGCUGGACGAUUGAAUUGGCAAUUGUGUUUGUUUAAUUGAAAUAUGGAGUCACCAGAAAUUGACAAAACUGAUUUUACAGUAUUUGGUACUAUAUUCCUCCUUUUAAAUUGGCAAUUUUGUUUCUUUAAUUUUAAUACAUGUGUUUCCCCCUUUUUGUACGAUGAGUUUUACACAGAUCGACCUAACUUCUCUUUCAACAUUUUAUCUUCUGCCCAGAACAUGUUAAAAAAAUCUUCCAGUUCCAAAACAUCUGCAGCAUGCUGAUUUUUCAUGUCUUUUCUUUGCUUCUGGCUUCGUUUCGUUCUUUCUUGAUUCCCAGUUGAGAGAGUAAUUGUUUAUUGCCUUUUAAGAAAUGAAAUUGUUGACACGCUUCAACAAGCUACAGUAUGACAUUUUACAUUUUAAAGGUGAUCAUAGUCUAACGGAGAUUAGUUGUCUCUUUUUCUCUGAUGCUGUUAAAGAUGCAUAGUAACACUUGAUUUGAUUUGUGUUGUGUCUAAUUGUAUUGCACAUUUUUCUUCUAGAGUUUUGGAAUCUUCUAUUUUUGUCCUUUGACUCUGGGUGUCUUGUCAAAAUUUUCGAACAACUUUGAUGUUCCCUUUUGAAGGUGGUUAUUGCUUUAUGACAUGCUCCUCUAAAUACUCCCAGUAGCAUAUAUGUUGUGUUGAUUCCAGCGUGUUAGCGUGUUUCUUUUCAACCUUUUGUUUUACAAGAGUCCUGUUAUUUUCCCUUUGUCAAAGCAUAUGUAUUCUUUCCCUAUUUACAUAAAAUCAAUCCACUGUUUUUUUUUCCUAUUGCAAGCUUUUGAUCUUGUUAUUGCUAUUUUGGGGUUCUCUUAUGUAUUUAUGCAAAUCAUGUGUAACCUUAUAUUACAGGGUAAAUUUGAUAUAUGUCAUUUCUAAGUUCAUGGUUUUGAGGAACACCGUUACUAUUUUUUAUAUUUAAAAUAUAACACAAAGAAGUUUGCAUACUUAGAGAUAUACCAUUACACACCAUUUAAGGUCAUUCGAGAGCAAUCAUACCUGUAUUCACUUAGUAUUUUUCAUAGGGACGAAUAUCCAUUCGCUUCUCCAAGCUCAUUACAGACAAUGUCAACUUGAGCAGACUUUGCAUUGCCGGAGUCCCUGAUUUUGGUCUGUGGAGUUUCAACUUGCGUCAACUGAACUUGCCUGAUCUAUUUGUUUGGGUUGUGGCUUAUCUGGUUGGCACUGAAGCAACUGGUAUUUUCAUUGGUUUGGCCCAGGAAAGGCUCAUGUAUGAAAGAAACAACUAUAUAAAUGGGAAAAUUACAAGAUGCAAAAAAUUGUUACCUACCUAGUUAUUCAAUCUUAACAUUUUGUUUCCUUGGUAAAAUUCUCAAGUAACUACAUAGUCAAUUAUAUGAAAGACAUAUUUUUCACUAAAACUAGUCUAAGGCAUGAUUACGAAACAUAUACGAUUAGUUUUUGUCAUUGACCUUCAGAUUAGCUGGAAUUGAGCUUCCACUGCCGUGAUUGGCCUUGAUCCAGUAGAGCUUGUGACACGUGCCAUAAUUGGUGUCGAAUUAUUUGUUGUUGCGUGGUGUUUUUCUUACUGUCUUUCGUUAGAGAUUCUUGGUGUCAGGAUGGGUGAGUGAACCACCAACACCGUCACCAACUCCAAUAUUUGUAGUAGUAUACUAUAGAUGGAAAUUAUGCCAAAGAAAGAAGCCUGACAUACUGUUCUUCACUUUUGCGGCGGAUGGAGGGAAGCAAUAGAUGCAGCAAGGUGGCACCUUAAUUCAUGGACAACUCUCCAUAUUGAUAUUGUUGAGUGAUCUAUUUGAAGGACAAUGAAGGAUUUUCUUUAUACAAUGUGCAUCUAUCAGGUCACUUACGUUACUCUCAUUUGAAUCAUCUGAUAGCCAACUUCGCAAUAGUGCACAUACAUACGCGCUUGCUGAAUUUGAUGCACUCUCUAGGUAAUUUAUCACAACCAACGUUCACAAGGCAGUGUUCUGUUCAUUUAUUGCACUUCGAUUAACAACAUAUAGCAUGAUAAACUAGACAGUUCUUUUUAGUUCCUUUGAUAAGAAAACAAGUAGCAUCGGAAACUUCCUUUGCCUAUUCAAAGUUUCAAACACAAAACCGACAAAGCAGUGUGUUGUUUAUGACAGUGGCAUCGAGUGCACAUAUGAUGGCACUGUAAUUCUAUAAUGCUCCCUGGAGCUACAUAUGUACAUUAUGUUAAUAGAGGGUUGCUUCACAAGUCACAAAAUUUAGGACCACUUAUAUUAUCUCAUUUUUCAAGAACUAAACUGUGAAGUUUCAUGGAACGCUACACAGAAUCCAUCUUCUCUUGCUAAAAAUGGAGAACAAUAUCUUGGGUUCUUGGUAUUAUGUUUUAUAUGGACCUCCAGAGGUGUUCACAAAUGGCUUUGCUCCAACCCGUGAAACAGUCAGUACAAAAGUUUAAUCUAGCAUUUCUACUGCCGUCACAUUUAAUAAAAAGAAAUAGAACUAGCGCAUUGCAGCCAGUUUCGGCCACUUUGACUCAAACCUGUACCUGAAUGCUGCCCCUAUCAAGUUCCAACCGCAACACGGCAAAGGAAAUAAAACAGAUCUUUGACAUUACCCUACUAAACAGAACAAAGCACUGGCAUGCACUUACCCAAACAGCCAUGCCGAAAAUAUAAAUAUAUAACCUAAAUUAUAUUUGCCAGACUUAGUUCAUCAGCCUUAUGGAUUUUGAAUUGAUUUUCAUAAUUAAUUGAUUUAGCAAGUAGGUCCCAUGUCCAAAAUAUUUAGCACAACUCAAACUUUAGGUUGCUCUGUAGACAAUGUCAGGAUUGAUCUUAUGAAGGACCAAACCACUUUCUUCAUCAGGCAUACUUCAUUAACAUGGAAAUACAACUUCAGCAGUAUGAUGGGUAAUGCUGAUUUUUAGUAUUUCUCUACCAACUAGCUGGGGCAAACAAAUCCUGACAUUUUCUACAGAGCCAUCAUACGGCCAAAAUAGAAAUAUUUAAUUGUACUCUGAACUCACAACUUUAACUGAAAAACCUGCGGAGAGUAUUUUGUCUUCUUAAGAUUCAUGCAAAUUCAAAAUAUUAUCUUUCAGGUGGUAGAAGUGAGUAACCAUCACCAAUUACAUCAUCAGGAAGAAGCCAAACAUGGCGGUGCUCCGAAAAUACAAACAAACUGACAUCGUUCAAAUUCCAGCAACAGCUGCGGCGACUUCUUCGAAGGGAUUUUGCAAGGCAGAUAGGUUCAAAUGACAUGAGCUGGGUUGAUGAAAGUCUGUCCAUUCCUGUAAAAAAAAAAGUGGCCACAGCAGUUUAGUGGUAAGAUGAACUCUUACUCAGAUACAGGAAACUACCAUAAGUACUGUUAAAUAGGCAGUAGCACUUCAAAUAAAAUGCAGUAUCCAGAAGAGACAAUAUGCAAUAGUCAGGAAUGGAGUACUCCCUCCGACCCAUAUUACUCGCCAGUAAAAUGGAUCUAUCUACAAUUAAAAUGUAUCUAGAUACAUCUACAUUAGUGUCAAGUAAUAUGAAUUGGAGUACCAUUUUUCUAUUUAACUAAAAUGGGGCAGCACAUGCCCUUUUUAAAGUAAAAAUACAAGUAGGUUGUAGCACUUGAAUUUCAGCGGGCGAAAACAUAGCAUCUGGUGAUGUCAGGAUUAAUGAGGACCUAGAUAUGCUUACUCUACAAUAGCAAGAUGUUCUAACGGUUGUUAGACUUGUGUUCUGACAAGGAGGAAAAAGAGCUAGGGUUGGUGGUGCCAGAAUUUUGAAGAAACGGUGUCAGAUUAUGUAACCAAUGCACUUAUUAAGGGGUUGACUAUUUUCCACAACCACUUGAGAUAUACUGUACAUGUGUUCGUUAGAAGUUCUGUUUUGGAUUUGCUAUUUCCACUUGAGUAGACUAUCUACAAUUUCUGGAUAAAUGCUAUUUUGUACAGAGAUAUGCAGGAGAGGCAGUAUGGCUCAGAGGGCUAUUUUAUAGCUGCA